UUGAAAAAGUUGGCAGGUAUGUAUUAUGACAUUGAUGCAGAAAACAUUCAUUUUGCCAUUAAAGAAAGUCCUGUAUGCAUUCACUUUUUCAUCUUCCCUCUUGUGUUUGGGCCUUCAUUGGUCUGCAUUGUGCAACAGGUAAAAUGAUGAGAAAUAUAACUAAAGACAAAUAAAAUCCUAGCCUGCUAACAUACGCCUGCUCAGUACACUAUUGACACGCUCUGGUUUAUUAAGCGUGCUCACCUGUCAAUUCAGGCACAGAAGCAGGUCCUGUUCUUGAGCUGAAACAUACACAGCCAUGCUUACAUAGGAAACAACUUUCAGGAGGCCAAUUAUUGACACGCAUUGCAGAUAGUACUAUGGAUCAAGCAUGAAGCUGACCACAAUGCCCUCGAACUCUUCCCAACAUACAUAUAUUUUCUAGCAUCCUGGGCCAACCUUCUGGCCAUGCUUUGAAGCUGCUGUCAGGUUUCGAACCAAGCCCAAUCUUUCUGGCUUUGUUGUCCUCCUCGUCGUACCAUUUCCCCCCUCAUUUAUGUUUGUCUUAUUGAGAUAGAUAUUAUGUGAUGAUUUUUCAUUUGUGUGUAGUAUGGGCAAAAUCAAUUUAGAAUAAAACAAGCCACCCAGCUAUUUUUAUGGCCUAAUUGUUUUUGCGCUCAUUGAUCAUGGAGACCUACCUGCACGGCUGCAUGUAUAUGGCAACUAAGUUCUCGUCAGAUGUUAUGUGAAUAUUUAAUUAAUAAACUUCAUUUACAUUUCUGCGCAGCACAGACCCAUUGCGGCUGCAACUAUACUGAGCUGCAUGGCUGUUCGCAGCAUCAUUACGGAAUAAAAUCUGCCAGUCUUUAUUUAAUAAACAGUCAACAUAGUGAAUAACCGAAUACUAUUUUGUAUAUUCUAAAUUUAAGUACUUUAUGGCUUGCACUGUCGUGUUCUUAUAACUUUGGCAGGCCUAAAAAUCUCAACAGACCAUCUAACUAUGUGGAGUGAUUUUUUAGCCAUUACAUAUUCAUUGCGUUUGCCUGUUUUCCACAUGGCUACCAAUAAUCAGUAGAUAUCAUGUCGGUUAUUUAUAUUUGGAAUUGGUGACUUUCCAAAAACCUCAUAGUACCCCCCCCCCCCCCCCCAAAAAAAAAAUCCAUCGCAUACAUGCAAUAAAAGUUUAAUGCACCCAUGGAAGGGGAAGUAAAUCGUAAAGAUUUAAGUUAGAAGCUGAGAGUAAGAUGGUAUUUCGGCGUGAACAGCAGACUACAACAAAUAAAGCAGCGGCACAAAACAAAGCGAAUGAAAAAAGUAUUGUUCAGCCAAUAAAAACAUUUCACUGUUGCUGCAAGGUGAGAAGAGGGAAGCAGCCCUGCACUCACCCCAGCAACUACAGGCUUGACCGAAGGGUCCAAGACAUCUCGAACAUAAUGUCCACACUUGGCCAAAGAAGCGGGAACCAUAUCGAGAAGCUUGUGUUCUGGCCACAGAAGCGGGAGCUCACAGGCCUUGUGUUAGAAUUCUGUAGCCUGGUGAAGUUACAAACCGUACUCUUGUAGCGAUGUGUUGGCCAGGUUUUGACUGGUUGCCCUGGUCCAGUGAAGUGUUGACUGCAUGUCUUCAGCACAAUCCAUGGGGCAACCUUCCUAUGUGGCUUUCAUCCAUGUUCCAGCUAUUCCCUUCAUUUUUGUCACCUGGGGCUUCGUGGUCCGCAGUGAUUAGUCCCUUACUUAAUAUGUACAAAUAGGUCCUUUAAUUUUCCUGUUUUCUUGCCUUGAAUGCCCUCAUACCUAUUGCAAACAGAAAAGGAAGAUAGCACCACUCUUCUAUCAUGAUCGUUCACAUUAGAGUUCCAUUAAAGGAGCAAGAUCAGGGUAUCCAUGGCAUCUGUCUCGAUUCUUUACAUUUUGUGCCAUAAUACCCAGGACUCGUACUGUGGCUGCAGGCGUCAUCUGUAAGUUUGGGAGGUGGGAGCACCUUCUGCUUGCUUCAGCUCCUGUCUGACCUUGCCCUUCAGCACAACAGUCUAAAGUUCACAAAGCCAGGAUGCCCCCGGAGGUGAAUGACACAACCUGUCAGCCCAGCCCUUGGAGCAGCCAAUGACCUGCCUAUCGAUGCGAAGGACAACUGCAAUGACAACUGCAAAGCUUGCAAGGCUGGGACGAUAAAUUUCUUCAGUGACAUCCAUCUUGAAGGCCUAGUCCUUGAAGUGAAUGGCGCAUAGAGUGCAGACUUAUCUUGCCACCACAACGAUGACUGCUCCAUAGCUCACAAGGCUGGGAUAGCAAGUCUCAUCGGAAGGCUGAUCGUGCAGGCCUAGCCCUUGAAACCACCAGCUGUGUGUCUGCCAAUAAUCUGUGCCUUCAUCGUGAUGGGCUCUCCAAGGUCUGCAAGGCUGGAACGCUGAGGUCAUCCCAUCUGAAAUUUGGAAGCUUUGCCCUUCAAGCAUCCAGUACCACCAUGGCAGUAUUAAAGAUGGGAGGAACUGCAAGGAUCACUAGUGUUUACUAACAAUUAUGUAGCAUCCUUGUCUGUGCACUCACAAGUGCCCUAGGGACCUAAAAGACUGAAAUAUGGGACAUUGAGUGGCUGAGAAUUAUGGGAAUAUUCUUGCACACUGACAUCAAAGAAAAGUAAUAGAAUACUUACAUCUAUGUCACAAAUAGUUGUUAAGUUCAACUUAGUUUGCUUUCAACGAGAGUGACGUAGAGGCUUGUGAAUACUUUGAAUUGGACAUCUGCUGCAGUAAAGUGAAGCUCGAGGUCCGAUUGACCAAAUUAGACAAAAAAGCGCGUUACACAUCCGCCAAGCCAACAGGGAUUUUAAUAAGCAGGCCAUAGAGCUGGGUUUGUUCACAUGACUAGAGGAUGCCCAUUGAUAAAGCUAAGUAACUCGGUCUAAAGAAUGCUGCAAGAAUUUAACACUACUUUAGUAGCGAUAUUCUCACAGCAAACAGAUGCGUUGCAGAAGCAACAGUCAUAGCUCCAGAAGCACAGAAACUCGGAGGCGAAUCUGAAUUUGUGCCACAAAAGCCAUUCUGUUCUCUGUCAGCAGGUCUGCUAUGCUGUGUCGGUCAAUGGGUGCUGUGUCUGCCCUGAAGACGGCGACAGCUUACCUUUAACUGGGACUGAUAGCCCAUCUAGCACCACUGCUAAAGUAAUGUUAAACAUUUAUCCUAAAGACAAAAACGCAAAACAAAGCAAGAGGGAGGGGGGGAUGAAGCUUGCAGAAAAACGAGACAAGGAUUCUUUGAGAUAAGGUGUGGCAGUCAUGAUCAGAACCAGAACGAUAAGUCAAAGGAGAGUUUUUGCACUUUCGUGUGUGAUCAAACGGACAGGCAUCAUACUGAAGGCGUCAAGAGGAGCACAAGGAUGAAGCAAAGGCACUUGGCAGCUUGGAAAGACAGUCACGCAAUUGAAUGCAGAAAAAUUGCGGGAAACAACUCAAGCACCCGAAUGCAAGAAAAGAGUGAAAAUAAUACGUUAUGUUAAAGAAAAAGGAUUUCCUUUUGAACACAAUAUUAAUAUAACACUGCCCCACUGUACGAUACAUCAAACAUUAUACACAGCUUCAAAAUUGCAUAACUGUGCAAACUCAGCCUGAAAUAGAUGGAAUAGAAUUUGUUCCUUGUGAGCAAAUCGGGAUUGUGGCUUGCAUAAGCUGAAUGUGUGCAGUUUUUGCUUAGCAGAAAGGUUAUUAAUUAGUCAAACUUCUAUAGUGGUGAACAAAAUAGGAGUUCGGCAAUGGGAAAGAAAAGAACAUUAACAUUUGUGUGCAGUAGUGUGAGAGUUAACGUGGGCAGAAGUGCAAUGUGUAAAUAGGGUCUAUUUUGGGCAGAUAUACCGAGAUAUAAAUUGCACUGGUAUUGUACUGAAUCAAGUUAUCUUGACAUGAAGCAAUAGCCUGCCCUUUAAUUUGCAUAGAUUUUGCCAUACAGUCUUGCAUGGCUGUUAGACUACUGCAUACUUUGGCAAAGCCAAAUAGCUGUCAUGCUAAAUGUCAUGUAUAAGGCAGCCAUGUAUGUCUAUCCACGAGAAGGCAUAUCUGUAUUUUAUGACUGUGCGCAAGUUUAUUGUUGACAGAUACCGUAUGUUGUGCAUAACAUAAAGUAUGUCCUUGCAUUCAUAAUGGACGGCAAUAUUUUUCAAUUCUACCCUGCCCCCUCACUCUAGGUCUUUGUCCAGAGAAGGAAUGCCCACUGCUUGAGUGCCCGUGACACAGUCGAUGCUGCUUCAAGCUUCAACAAUUGUUGUGUCAGUUACAGCUAUGCAAGCCAAUAUUUGCACCAAAAAGAUGUUACUUAGCUCCUUCAGGUUUUUUAAAUAAAGUACUUUACCAACAAAACUAUGCCCGGGGGCUGUCCCCCUUCGACUUUUCUUUGGCAUUUACAACACAUCCUAAGACCAUAAAUGCUUAUUCAAAGCACCCAAUACACUUUAGGCCGAACAUUGUCUGCAAAGUUCCAUUUGAAGAGGUACUGACAUGAUAUCUUCAAUUAUUCCUUUUUUUCUCUCAUUAAAUUAAGGCUUUAGAGCUCUAAAAAUAUAAUAACAAGCCUUGGAGUGGCGUGAUUUAGUAUAAUAGCUUUCCUGGAGCCGGUUUCAGUUUUGUUUUCUGGGAGGAUACUAUGUAGUGACAUCACAACACAGUAUGUGGUCAUGUGAGAAAAGGACAUUGCAAUGUUUUGACACUCUCUUGAGGCCUCCGGCUAGCUCAGUCGACUUGUGCACUGCAAAUUUUGAAGGUCAAUGUAGCAGCACAGUGGACGACUGAAUGAGCUAGAGCGAGUGUCAUAACAUCGUAAUGUCUUGCUCCCACAUGACCAUAUACUGUGUCGUGACAUCAAGGCAUAGUAUCCUCCUGGAAAACAAAAGUGGCUGUAAAGAAGCUACUAUAUUGAAUUAUUUACGGUGUUUUGAGGCUUCACCCCUCAAACGCUGUCUGUCGUCUUCUCUCCGCCACUCUUCAGCACUGAACUUCAUCCGACCAAACACCAGAGAAAAGAGUGAUGCUGAUACAGACACACAAGUUUUUUUGGCAGUGGAAUAUGUUAACUGGACAAACUGCUGCAAGCGUUGCAUAGCAACAUGCAUUGAAGCUGCUUUGUCAUGCGACUCUCACGCUACCUGCGUUGGAACCAGAUGGCUCACAUGAAAAGAUUCAGGUGUCUCAGCAGCAGCACACCCACCCGUUGUUGGUCACCUCCAUUUGAAAUUCAAAAGGAAGUUUCACACGAGUGUUCAUUUCGAAUCACCGAUAGCAAUACCUCACCUUGGCAUAGCCAACUACCUGUAAAAUACUUCACAUAACAUCAAUUUUCACAUUGCGUGGGAUUUACGCAAGUUUAUCUCAUAGUUUUCAUGUAGAGCCUUUUGGACCUUUAUGUGGGGGAUAAUAAAAUGGCUUUUCAAGUCUAGCUCCUCUGAAAUAUAUAUAAUUCGACACCUUGCAUGCUAAGCUGCAGCUUCUUAAGUCCCAAACUGGCAUCAAGAAAGCCAGGACUGUAAAAUGAUACUGGGCUGGACAAAUCAGUUUCCAAAGAUUUAUGUUACGUUCUUGACCUCCUUUCCAGAGUUCCUGUGAUAAGUUUGUGUGAAAAGACAUUCUCAAAGCUAACAUAUGUAGAGACCAGGCUGAGAAGCUUUAUGUCAAGAAUGGCUUAGCUGGCUGAUGGUGCCUUUGGUGGAGCAAUGAAUUGCAAUUUUUUUUAUGAUGUUAUGAAGAUAAAUAACACCAUAGCAUGCAGACUUAUGCUGCAGAAAGAAAGCAAGAAGCGAAUGAGUAAUUGCAAAGUGAUCUGCAUAUUGUAUCCCAGCUGUAUUGUGCAUGCCACAUUACCAGAGAAUCCUGCUGACCUUUAAUUAACCUUUCCAGCACAACAUGUCUUUAUCAAGCCAUACCUUUACAUUGGGUUGAUAUAUGCAGGGAUGCCCUUUCACCUUCAUGUAAGCUUAGCUCUGUCAACAGCAGAUGCACUAAAGCUGAACACUCUUGCUACCUACUUCACAUACUGCAACUGAAAUGAAGGAAACACAAGUCUUAACAGUAAACUUUUAAACAGUGCAUUUAAAUACUUGUGCAACCUUCUUUUUGGAAAGACCAUGUGGUGCCUAGAGAUGUAGCUUGACAAGUAAGAAACUGAUGUGCUUUUAUCUAAAAAUAGAAUUGAUUGAUGUUUUGUGGGACAGGGUGCCUGGUGUCUCAAUGAGCACACUUUAUGGCUGAGAAUAUUUUUGCCAUUGUGUCAGCUUUGAAAACUUGUCAGAAUCUUUAAUCUUGGUGCAUUAGAAAACACCUUGACACAAAAUGAAUGUAACCCUUGAUGUCAUUGAAAGAACAGUGCUGAAAACAAUUCGAUAAAUACAGCAGAAUGAAAUGCAGAGAACUUAGGUGGGAAAUAGGUAAGCAAUUUACCAACCACAUUAUCAAUGCAAGCAGCUGACACUUAAUAAAAUAAGAAAGCCCUGGAGCAAGUCUCUGGCUUGCAGUGCAAGACCUGUGCACACUUAUGAUGAUAUUGCAGUAUUCAUGGCAGGGACGGGACCAUUCAACCUUACGCACUGUAACACUCUGUAUAUCUCUCUGAAAUCUUCUUGUACCAACAUGUACAAACUGCAUGUUGCAAACAGCAAAAUCAUUGCUAUUGUCCUACAGACAGUUUCCAUGUUUAUUGGAUUCUCAUUUUAACAGCUGACUUUAAGCUUCCAUACUGAGAGCUGGACGAGUUAGUGCGUUUUUGAAAGAGUAGAAACAGUGCACAAAGUAUGAAGGACAGUGAAAACGCAACAGGAGCACUGACUUGCAACUGAAUUUUUUAUUCAGGUAUACAUACAAGAAUAAUAUGCACACACCAUGCAAUGUGAAAAAAAGCAAGCAAAUGAAGUGCAAACUAUUAAUCAUGAUUGACAUUGCUAGAAAACACAAGCAUGAGUGACGUCGUGAGUUAACUGCGACAUCAUACUAAAUCCAUGCAAAAAACCAUGUUAGAACUUACAUGGGCAUUAUGCGAUUCAAUGAAUUCAACAGUAUGCUUAUAACCUAUGUAUUCUAACAUUUUACUUGAAUAAGGUGCUAAGAAGAUCAAUCUAUAUAUAGCUACAAAUGCCUUAGUCACCAGAUUUGAAAAGCGGGAGGACUUUCGUUUGUUUCAGAGAUGAAAGAAUACCUGUUGUGGGAGAAUGCUGAGAAAUAACAGCGAUACUGAGGAGUCCAUUGGGAAUAAUAUAAUGUACCAACAUGCAUUAGGAAUUACGUCAGGAUCUCCAAAUUUAUUAAAUUUGCAGACAUACUUCUAUAUUUUAACAAUAUUAUUAAGGCAUACAAAUUUUAAAAAGAAAUGCCACUACGUUAGUAUUUGCCAUAGCAAAUGAUUUCCUAGGGGUGCAUGUACAAUGGCACCCAAUUGAAUAUUGUACAACUAAAGCUCUACCACAUGUGUUUGACCCCUGUUGAUUGCAAGUCGCACAAGCCUGUUCCCUUAGUGAGUGAAACUCAGUGAAAGAAACUUGGCCUUCUUUGUGGAGCAAAGACAGUUGGCAAAAAUGAAGCACACAAAGGUAGAGAGGUUUUGGUAUAGCCUGCACAGUGAAAGAUCCACUCAAGAUCCAGGUGCUGUACCGUAUCUUCAGAAGAUAAAGCAUUCAUCUAAACACAAGCACAGGGUGUAAAUGAUCGCACUCCGAUGCAUGUGAUACAUAAUGACAAUCACCACGAAAGCCUAUCGCAUUACUAUUACUUCCACAGGUAAUUUUCAUGGCUGCUAUGGAAUGGCUGUCUCGCUGCACCACAAUCUAUAGCAACUAAUACACUGGGAUUUCAAAUGGUUCAUGAAAGCGGGUUGGGCCCUGGCCAGACUGAAGCAGCGGCACUCGAGAGACACUUUUCAACGCCCAGCCUCGUGUGAGUCACUUGACACUCGUCACGGACACUUGCUGACAUUGCCUUCAGGCGGGAACAGGCCUUUCUGUUAGAUUCACGUUUCACGUCCAGGCUUUCGUUACUAGGCUUCUGCGUGCGUAAGGCGACGCGAAAUGUUUGAACGCACUUUGCUCAUCGACAAAAGGCGCCCUUACUUUGCACAGCGAUUUGGAAAUGUGUAUGCACCCUACAUCGACGUCAAUGCCGACGCGCACCACUUCUGCGUUUUCGAGCUCGAGAGCAGUGUGUCGACGUGGUGUCCAAGGCCAAAUAGGCAUCCGACUUUGCCAGAAGGCGUACACACAACUUAAAGAAUCGCUACAUACGACACACCCUGCAAUAUGCAUGAUCCGUGUCGGCACCAUAUGCAGUCGGCGCUGUGCUACCACGACUCUUCGAAACCGACAGUCCAAAUGAGGCGACAUGUCGUGCUGUUUCGUGGAUGCAGCACAGUUCGUUCGAAGCUUCUGUAGCUUCGUAACGGCAGCGUUAUUCGUACUCGCCGAUAUUACACAGUGACCAAAUAUGCAGUCGGCGCUGUGCUACCACGACUCUUCGAAACCGACAGUCCAAAUGAUGCGACAUGUCGUGCUGUUUCGUGGAUGCAGCACAGUUCGUUCGAAGCUUCUGUAGCUUCGUAACGGCAACGUUAUUCGUACUCGCCGAUUUGUGCACACCACACAGCCACAAGGAAUCGCAACGGUCCUC